GCGUUGGUGGCACAGUGGUUAGGACUCUCGCCGACAAUGCAUAUGGUCCGGGGUUCGAUCCCCUGCCAACGCA
rnacentral:tRNA from 1 species